GCCUUCGUGGUGUAGUGGUCAGCACCCUCGACUCGACGCGUAACCGAGAGAUCCGUGGUUCGAUUCCCGGUGAAGGCU
rnacentral:tRNA from 1 species